rfam:Ictidomys tridecemlineatus contig087136, whole genome shotgun sequence.
GGGGUUGUAGCUCAUUGGUAGAGCACUUGCCUAACACGUGCAAGACCCUGGGUUCGACCCUCAGCAAUAUUU